rnacentral:lncRNA from 1 species
AGUAAGCUUCAAAACACUGGACCUGGGCAGAUAUCAACCCUCUAAGAGUUGGGGAAGAGCUACAAGGUCACUGAGGUAAUGCAAAAGUUCCUGCCCUCAGCAAUGACGGGGAAUGGAGAAUGGCUAGAAGAUGGAGUGUCUUGAAAGGUUUAUGCCCUUAGAGGACAAUACAAGAUUCCUAUUAAUGAAACACUGAUGAUGAUGAUGAUGACGAUGACAAUGACGAUAAUGGGAUGAGUAGGAGAGACCCUGCUUGUCAUUGCUAGACCACCUGGGACUCUUCUUCACUGGCAUGGCCACCUGCAACUGCUUCCAGAACCUGCCCUGAGGAUACUUGGAUUUCUCUCCUUUCCAUUUAAUGACCGUGAGCACCGUCUUAGCCCGCUUCAGCUCUUUCACCUUCAUGUCCUUCACAGCUUUGUACUGCACUAAAAUGACGUUGAUGUUGCCCCGGGAGGCCAUAUUUUCUAGGCCAGCCUUGAGCUCCAGGAGGGCUUGUGUUCCCUGGAGCACGUAGUUGGGACUUAGGACAACCAGGAGUCGUCUGCUUUUCUGAAUGAAGCUCAGGGUCUCAUCUGUGACAACUGGGAAAGAAAACACCAUGGGGAUUAGUGUUGGCCAAGAACUACCUGAUUCAAAGAGGUGAAGGAUGGAAGAUAGGGAACUUGGAACGACAGCCUGGGAAACAAGGCUGAAACAGCUUUAUCAGCAACAGUCCUAGUAACUUUCUCUUUAACCACACUGUUCCUGGAAUGUCACUCUGAUGAGGAAAAAAAAAUGGAGUCAUAUAUAAAUGCCCAACUCUCCAAAUGUUUCCAAAUGACUAAAACUAAAAUAUGGUGGAAUAUGAUGGGCUGCUGUUACCCAGUUCCUCAAAGGCCCUAUUUGAACCAGAUGGAAUAGAUAUAUUGUAGUGACAUCACUUUCUUCAAAUAGUGUUGCAGCUCAGACAAAGAGGCUCCUGAAAGAAAAUACUAUCUUCUAUGAAACGUCUUCACACAAAUAUGAACUUCAGAGUCAAAGCCCCCAAGUUGCAGCUGCAGCUAACCAAGGACAACACCAGGGAAUGCCAAAUUUGAGUCUGUCUCUCUGUCUCUCUCUCUCUGUCUCUCCCUCUCCCCCUCCCUCCCUCUCUCUCUUUCUCUGCUGAUGUGUACUUUCCUGAUGCCAACUGAUGUCACUGUUGCUAGAUUAGUAACUCAAGCAAAUGGCAUCUUGGCAAGCAGUGUAUUCCCCCAUCAGCUCUUUAGUUUUCUCUGUUGUGGAGAUGAAAUAAAACAUGCAUAUUUCUCUUUAA